rnacentral:rRNA from 1 species
UGAGGAAUAUUGGUCAAUGGGCGGGAGCCUGAACCAGCCAAGUAGCGUGAAGGACGACCGCCCUACGGGUUGUAAACUUCUUUUAUAAGGGAAUAAAGUUCGCCACGUGUGGUGUUUUGUAUGUACCUUAUGAAUAAGCAUCGGCUAAUUCCGUGCCAGCAGCCGCGGUAAUACGGAAGAUGCGAGCGUUAUCCGGAUUUAUUGGGUUUAAAGGGAGCGUAGGCGGGCUUUUAAGUCAGCGGUCAAAUGUCGUGGCUCAACCAUGUCAAGCCGUUGAAACUGUAAGCCUUGAGUCUGCACAGGGCACAUGGAAUUCGUGGUGUAGCGGUGAAAUGCUUAGAUAUCACGGAAGAACUCCGAUCGCGAAGGCAUUGUGCCGGGGCAUAACUGACGCUGAGGCUCGAAAGUGCGGGUAUCAAACAGGAUUAGAUACCCUGGUAGUCCGCACGGUAAACGAUGAAUGCUCGCUAUGGGCGAUAUAUUGUCCGUGGCCAAGCGAAAGCGUUAAGCAUUCCACCUGGGGAGUACGCCGGCAACGGUGAAACUCAAAGGAAUUGACGGGGGCCCGCACAAGCGGAGGAACAUGUGGUUUAAUUCGAUGAUACGCGAGGAACCUUACCCGGGCUUGAAUUGCAGGUGCAUGAGUCAGAGAUGAUUCUUUCCUUCGGGACUCCUGUGAAGGUGCUGCAUGGUUGUCGUCAGCUCGUGCCGUGAGGUGUCGGCUUAAGUGCCAUAACGAGCGCAACCCUUCUCCCCAGUUGCCAUCGGGUAAUGCCGGGCCCUCUGGGGACACUGCCAUCGUAAGAUGCGAGGAAGGUGGGGAUGACGUCAAAUCAGCACGGCCCUUACGUCCGGGGCCACACACGUGUUACAAUGGGGGGUACAGAGGGCCGCUGUCCGGUGACGGUCGGCCAAUCCCUAAAACCCCUCUCAGUUCGGACUGGAGUCUGCAACCCGACUCCACGAAGCUGGAUUCGCUAGUAAUCGCGCAUCAGCCAUGGCGCGGUGAAUACGUUCCC